rnacentral:rRNA from 1 species
GUAGGGAAUAUUGGGCAAUGGUCGGAAGACUGACCCAGCCAUGCCGCGUGCAGGAAGACGGCCCUCUGGGUUGUAAACUGCUUUUAUCUGGGAAGAAAAAGGCCAUGCGUGGCAAAUUGCCGGUACCAGAUGAAUAAGCACCGGCUAACUCCGUGCCAGCAGCCGCGGUAAUACGGAGGGUGCGAGCGUUGUCCGGAUUUAUUGGGUUUAAAGGGUGCGUAGGCGGCUGAUUAAGUCAGCGGUGAAAGACUUCGGCUUAACCGGAGCAGUGCCGUUGAUACUGGUUGGCUUGAGUGUCGGAGGGGUACAUGGAAUUGAUGGUGUAGCGGUGAAAUGCAUAGAUACCAUCAGGAACACCGAUAGCGAAGGCAUUGUACUGGCCGACAACUGACGCUGAUGCACGAAAGUGUGGGGAUCGAACAGGAUUAGAUACCCCGGAAGUCC